rnacentral:rRNA from 1 species
GGUAGCACAGGGAGCUUGCUCCUGGGUGACGAGCGGCGGACGGGUGAGUAAUGUCUGGGAAACUGCCUGAUGGAGGGGGAUAACUACUGGAAACGGUAGCUAAUACCGCAUAACGUCGCAAGACCAAAGAGGGGGACCUUCGGGCCUCUUGCCAUCAGAUGUGCCCAGAUGGGAUUAGCUAGUAGGUGGGGUAACGGCUCACCUAGGCGACGAUCCCUAGCUGGUCUGAGAGGAUGACCAGCCACACUGGAACUGAGACACGGUCCAGACUCCUACGGGAGGCAGCAGUGGGGAAUAUUGCACAAUGGGCGCAAGCCUGAUGCAGCCAUGCCGCGUGUAUGAAGAAGGCCUUCGGGUUGUAAAGUACUUUCAGCGGGGAGGAAGGUGUUGAGGUUAAUAACCUUGUCAAUUGACGUUACCCGCAGAAGAAGCACCGGCUAACUCCGUGGCGGCAGCCGCGGUAAUACGGAGGGUGCAAGCGU